UACGAAGGGGGCUAGCGUUGUUCGGAAUUACUGGGCGUAAAGCGCGCGUAGGCGGCUUUCUAAGUCGGGGGUGAAAUCCUGGAGCUCAACUCCAGAACUGCCUUCGAUACUGGAGAGCUCGAGUCCGGGAGAGGUGAGUGGAACUGCGAGUGUAGAGGUGAAAUUCGUAGAUAUUCGCAAGAACACCAGUGGCGAAGGCGGCUCACUGGACCGGUACUGACGCUGAGGUGCGAAAGCGUGGGGAGCAAACAGG
rnacentral:rRNA from 1 species